rnacentral:rRNA from 1 species
UACGUAGGGUGCAAGCGUUGUCCGGAAUUAUUGGGCGUAAAGAGCUCGUAGGCGGUUUGUCGCGUCGAAUGUGAAAUCCCGGGGCUCAACCCCGGGCCUGCAUUCGAUACGGGCAGACUAGAGUUCGGUAGGGGAGUCUGGAAUUCCUGGUGUAGCGGUGAAAUGCGCAGAUAUCAGGAGGAACACCGGUGGCGAAGGCGGGUCUCUGGGCCGAUACUGACGCUGAGGAGCGAAAGCGUGGGGAGCGAACAGG